CCCGCGCUGUGCCAUCGUCAUAAUACAGCCGCGUAUACCGCAGCCUCGGCCGUAUAAUAUUGUUUUCGUCUUAAAUUUCAUUUCGCCGUUAUUUUAUACACCCCGUUUUUGUCUCCUUUUUUUUUUUUUUGUAUUUUUUUUUUUGUUUACCCGUACGUCACCGUCACCGCUACGCGAAUACGCGUUUAUGACCGGAAGAGCUUUCUGGUGCAUUGACAACUAUACGUGGGUACGUAUAUAAUAUAAAGGUUUUACCUGGCUACAACCAGUGGCGCAACCAGGAUUUAUUUUCGGAGGGGAUUUUACGGAUUUGAAUAAAAAAAUCAAUUUCGGAUGGUGUUCGGUGGGGUGGAAGGAGUAAGGUUUAAUUAGAUUUACGAGUAAAUUGUUUAACAUUCAUGGAUACGGCUGCUCCAGCAUCUCUUUCGAAAAA